rnacentral:rRNA from 1 species
UAGAUGCGAGAGUAGAGCAUAUCAAUAAGCGGAGGAAAAGAAACUAACAAGGAUUCCCUUAGUAACGGCGAGUGAAGCGGGAAGAGCUCAAAUUUGAAAUCUUCAAGGUUUUACCUUGACGAAUUGUAGUUUAAAGAAGUGUUUUCUGUUGGAGUUUUGGUAAAGUUCUUUGGAAUAGGACAUCAUAGAGGGUGAGAAUCCCGUAUUUGACCAUUACUUUCCAGCUGUGUGAUACACUUUCAAAGAGUCGGAUUGUUUGGGAAUGCAGUCCAAAAUGGGUGGUAAAUUUCAUCUAAAGCUAAAUAUUGGCGAGAGACCGAUAGCGAACAAGUACCGUGAGGGAAAGAUGAAAAGAACUUUGAAAAGAGAGUUAAACAGUACGUGAAAUUGUCAAAAGGGAAGCGUUUGACACCAGUGUUGUUUUUCCGAAAAUCAAUUACGAAUGUUUUAUUUUUGAGAAGUUAUGACUUCAUCGGCUUGCUUCUCUCUUUAUGAAACUUUCUUAAUGCACUUUUCGGUUAACAAGUUAACAUCAAUUUCUUUUGUUGUAAAGAGGGUAUGAGGAAGGUGGCUUUCUUUUCGGAGAAAGUGUUUAUAGCCUUGUAGCCUCUGCAAUCGGAGAGAUUGAGGUCUGCAGCGUAGAUCCUUCGGGGUUAGAUACAUUUGUGCUAAGUUAUAGCUUUUCAUAGACAACUUGUUGACUAUGUUAAGUCUCGUAGCUUACUCGCUUAUGCUAGUUUUACCUACGCUUAGGAUGUUGACGCGCGUGUGUGCGUG